rnacentral:rRNA from 1 species
AUGCUACCCGAGAAUCGCCGGUCCGUACACUACGUCGGCCCCGCGCUGCUCUCCCGCGCGCACCCGAGCAGGCUGUGCUUCGAGGUCGUCUGCCUCGCCAUCGAAGCCGGGCACCUGCGCGCCUGGGUCGCGUCGUUCAAGGACGGCAAGUGUGUCUGGCGCGCGCUCCCGCAGGCCAUGGAGGUCAAGACCGAUUUUAAUGACAGGUGUAUCGAGGGCCGCAGCGUGCAUGCCGCUGGGAACAUCUACUGGCACAUCUGCAACUCCGGCCGCCUGCUCGUGUUGGACCCUGCAACGAUGCAGUUCUCAUAUCUAUCGGUUCCAUCCGAGCUGGGAGAUCAUUUUUUCAAGUUCCGCAUUGGGGAGAUGCCGGAGGAUGGGCGGCUUUGCAUCGGGACCGUGGAGAACGAGGAGAUGCAGCUCUCGGUGCGUGGGGGCGACAAGUGCAGCGACAACGGUUGGCUUCUGGAGUGGAAGUUGAACUUGUGCGAGGUGUACGACAUGGUGCCCGGCCUGCCCAGGGACACCACGAACAGGAUCUUGGGCGUCUGGCUCAGCGACAUCGACGCGGGGCGCACUGGGAAGCUGUUCAUCAAGACAUGGGGAUACGGCCGCUAUGCCUUCUCUCUUGAGACCCGGAAGCUGGAACGCCUAACAAUGGAAGGUGGCAAGGAGUAUGGACACCCCAUCUACGCCUACGUACUCGCAUGGCCACCUGCAUUCCUUGCUCAAGAUUGCUGA